rnacentral:pre_miRNA from 14 species
CUUUGAGCUUCUACUGAAAGACCCCCGGAGUGGGGAGACCCUCACUCAAGUCUCGGGAUGACUCGACCCCCCAAGAACUCACACAAGACC